rnacentral:tRNA from 1 species
UAGCUAAGUGGUAGAGUGCUUGCCUCACAUGCAUGAAGCCCUGGGUUCCAUCCCCAG